AUACAUUUAGGGUAAAGAAGGGAUUCGAACAUCAUUCCUUCACGUUUCACAGUAUUUGGUGGCAUUCUUCCUUAAAACAAGGUGGCCGCAGGAUGACUGGAAACCAUGGAAAUAUGAAUAUUUAUACAAAUUGAGUUUAGUUAUCACAAGCAUUUAAUAAUAAUCAAUCACACUCCUCAACUCAUUCGUGCCACCCUUGUUUUUCACCGGCUCAAUGUACCAAGCUGUGUUUUUCUUGUUUCAUUCACAAUUUUAUGUUAAUACGAUGAUGAGAUAUGAAACGACUAAAAUUUUUAUCAUUAGGACUUUAUUCACUUACAUUGAUAAGUUCUUUCUUUUGAAAAAAAAAGACUUCAUUUCUGUGUCUGACUUAACUGUAAAAUGACUACUAUUUUACAAGACGAAAGUCUGUUUUCAAUCGAUGCGAAGAAUUUUAUGUUUUUUGAAUGGAAGUUAGAAGAAACGGACAUAAGAAAAGAUAGAUUGAUUCGAAGAUCGGUAUUUCAAGUAGAAAAUAGAGGAACUUCAUCUCUUGAGGUGAGAAAUACGAAUUUUUAUCUAGAUUUAAUACUAUAUAAUCCGAAAUUUGCUAGUGGUGAUUAUUGUUUGAUUUGUAUAUCGGACAGUAAAAAUACAAUAAUUUAUAGUGAGCAUAAAUCAACAAUGAACAUUCCAAAUGUAAGCGAGUUUGAUUUACUUCGAAAAUUUAGAAAGAAAACUUGCGAAAUUGAUUUCCCCAUUAUUAUCUCUUGCACAUUCAGGUAUAACAGUGCGAAUACCGUAAGAGAAUCAAAACAUUCUUUGAAAGAACUUUCUUUAGACUUAAAGAAAAUUUUAGAUCAAGGCAUAAAUUAUGACGUAGUAUUGAAGACAGGAGAUGAAAACAUCAAAGCUCAUAAAUUGAUACUGCAAGCACGUUCACCCGUGUUCAACAGGAUGUUCAAUCCCGGUUCAAGCGAAUCUUCAGAAAAUACAGUAACCAUCUCAGACGUUGGGGCAACAGCAAUGAAGAGACUUGUCACUUUUCUUUACACGGGAGCGAUCGAAAAGUCUGAUUUUGAUGAAGCUCUAGAAUUGUACUACGCGGCUGACAAGUAUGAAGUAUUGUCUCUGCGGGAAGAAUGCAAAACAGAAUUGCUUUGCAGUAUCAGUGCAGAAAAAGCAUGUAUUCUCUUUGCGUUAGCAAAUCGGCACGGCGAUAAAGUGUUUUUGGAAGAAAUAGUGCAGUAUAUAUGCGGAAAUUUUGAACCUGCUGUAAAUGCGGAUGCGUUUGACGAACUGAGCAAGGACGAUAUGAAAUUACUGAUGCGUUUGUGUGCUCGCACAUUAAAAAAGUGAACGCUUUUUAGCCGAUUCAAUUGUAGAAGAUGAUCAACUGCAACUUUUGACUUUUCAGAUAGCACAACUUCCUACUUUGUAUGUUUAAUUGUCAACCAAAUCCAUGGAAGAAGCAUGAAGUAAAGGAGACUGAUUAAAAAAGGAGACAUUGUUUUGCUCGAGUUACAGUUUUAUAUUGUGUUUUGCCUGCAGAACGAUAUCACAAUGGAUAUGGCUGACGUAUUUGAGAUCAUUGCGAAUAACGACAAUGUAUGCCUGGCAGAUUUUGUACGUCCUUAUUAUCCACAUUCGGAUGACGAAUUUGAAACUCUAUCGGACGAAGUGACUCAAAAUGACAUUUUCUUGAUUUAUUCCGCAUUCCGGCGCUACAUGCAUCACUGUCCAAGAAUAAAUAAAGAGUCCAAGUCACGUGGUGAAGAUUUUUUUCGUGUCUACGAAGAUCUUGAUAAUUGGGCUAAAGGAUUUUAAGCAGACGAUAUGAUCCUUAACGAGAAUAAAUAUUUAGUGAGAGGGGACGUUAAAGAACAAUACGAUCCAGAAGACAACACCUUAGUAAAUUUUAAUAGAUACGCAGAAAACUUUCAGAAUCUUUCUGAUGUUGUGGAUGCUCACAUCCAUGGCACCGAAAAACACGAUCCAAAUUACGUAUGGUCAUCUUUAUUUGAAAAAACAAGUUGUUUCGGUGAUGAAAGGAGCUUCAAACAUUACUCUUUUGAAAACUACAUGCAUUGGAUGCCUGCUUCUCUGAAGGAAGCCAUCUUGACGGUGCGUACUUCAGAACGAGUGAAAUGGUGCGUAUAUUUGCUUUUUACUUACCAUUAUGAGAACGAGUGUGGCUUGUUCGUUUCCUGCGCUCUUAAACUUUGUUUAAGAGCCUUUGACUUAUGUGAGCAAGCGUUCCGUGUCUAUGGAUUUGAAACUUUUGCUAAAUUGAUGCGUUAUGUAUAUCUCAUUAAAGAAUGCGAAUGUGAUACUCAAGUACUUUUAAGUUGUCUGCGUGUGCAUUGUAUUAGUCAUCACAUUGAAGACCGCCUUUUUAAGAAGCCUUUACUUUUAAAAUUCAUUCUGGGAAAAAUACAAGCUGGAAAAGCCAAAAUUCCCGGUGAACUCAUGAGCAUCUCUCCUUAUUUUGAUCCUCGUUUAAAGUAUAGACCAAAUGCUGAUAGGUUCUUCUUGGAAGACUUGGAUACUUUUUUAACUUUACUAGAAUUUGGAAUCAGCACUGACUUCAACGCAUUCAUAUACUGUGAUAUUAAAGAGAAGAUUCGAAUCAGUGUUGCUGAAAGAAGAUGCUUCCGGGAACUCAGCUUAAAAGAGAGCAAUACGUGUAGAUAUCGGUGCGUCCAAUUGGUUUACUUAUACAGUUGUACACCAGAUCUUCAGAGCAGUGAAAAAGAUGAAGCCUUGCAAAUUCUCUGGGCUUCUAUACUUGACCCCUUUUUAACUAAACUAGACAUGUGGCUUAGUUUUCUGGUUGAUGGAAUAACUACAAUUCCUAAAGACGCGAGGAGAGCUUGGCGGUGGUACGACAAUAUUGUGGCUAAAGGAGAGAGUCGAUACAGAUCACCAAGAUCCUUGCAGCAUUUGGCUAGAUGUGCAAUACGUCAUCGCUUAACAAGUUAUUUCCGUCUUCCUAUUGGUGUUGACUCACUUAUGUUGCCACAAAAGCUCAAAGACUACUUACUGCUUAAAACAUAAAUGAGUUUUCACUACAGGAAGUUCGACUGCAGAUAUUCAAAAGUACAAGCAUAGGUUUUAAUUCUUUUCUAGUGGAAAUAAGAUUCUACUGUUUUAAUGGAAGCUGAAAUAAUAAAAAAUUAAAAUUAGGGCAUAAAGUCUAUGGAACUGAAUAUGAACAAUAAGCUUCCUUAAACCGGAAGAAAUUUAGAAAACUUCCGGUGUAUUACUCCGCCUAUGUUAUGCUUACGAGCUGAUGUGUGAACAGGUUUAAUACUCUAGGAAGUUUUAUUAUUGAGAUUUGUGCUUGAAUUAAAGCGUAAUUUUACCAUU
rnacentral:misc_RNA from 1 species